rnacentral:rRNA from 1 species
GACGAAGGAUCCAAGCGUUAUCCGGAUUCAUUGGGUUUAAAGGGUGCGUAGGCGGCCCGGUAAGUCAGUGGUGAAAUCUCCUUGCUUAACAAGGAAACUGCCAUUGAUACUGCUGGGCUUGGGUACAGAUGCUGUGGGCGGAAUAUGACAUGUAGUGGUGAAAUACAUAGAGAUGUCAUAGAACACCGAUUGCGAAGGCAGCUCACAAAACUGUAACUGACGCUGAGGCACGAAAGUGCGGGGAUCAAACAGG